rnacentral:rRNA from 1 species
UACAGAGGGUGCGAGCGUUGUCCGGAAUCACUGGGCGUAAAGGGAGCGUAGGUGGCGACCCAAGUCCAUGGUGAAAGCUCGAUGCUCAACAUCGAGUCGGCCACGGAUACUGGGUUGCUGGAGCACUGUAGAGGCAGAUGGAAUUCCGGGUGUAGCGGUGGAAUGCGUAGAGAUCCGGAAGAACACCGGUGGCGAAGGCGGUCUGCUGGGCAGUUGCUGACACUGAGGCGCGACAGCGUGGGGAGCAAACAGG